UACAGCAUAGUGACCCAGUUACACAUACAUGUGAGAAAAAAGAAUGCAUAUAUAUUUUUAAAUGUGUAAAGAGAUGAUAUGGCUUCAUGAAACUUCAUAUGUAUUAAUAUACACACACAUCCAAGUACAUACUAGUAUCUGGGGUGGGGGUAAGUAAGUAAGGGACAGGGGUGAAAAGGAAAUGUAUAAAAAUAUAAAUAAGAAAAAACCUAACAAAAUGAGAGAAGGUCUUUCUCAGAGUGGUGACGAUUGAGGGCCAUGAAUUGAGAAGAGGCUUAACUCUGCUCUUCUUCUGAGGCUCGUAUUUCUCCUCCAUAAUUCCCUUCAUGAAAUUGAAUGUAAAGCUCCAUCCCACUUCCGGAAGAAUCAGAACAGGCAAGUUCGUUCUCAUUCUCUUUCUCAGGGUACUCCUGUGCCCCCAACUGCCACCCCUACCCUUUGGGAGCAGCAGCCCUGAAAUAUAUGAGCAUUCUGCCCAGUGUUUUACCCCACCUUGAGAAGCAGGUUUACUACCCCACAUUUUAUGGAUGAAAAGAGAAACAAUUCUGAGAGGUAGUGACCUGCACUUCAUCUUGUGUGCUCGGUACUUUACAGGUUUGGCGGAACUGGCACUUUACCCAAGUCAUGAUGGAGAGCUUUCACCUUGUGGUUUACAGCAUACCCACUGACACCAUCCUAGCAACCACAAGUUUCUUCUGUAGAAGCCACUGUUUCUAAGAAUCAGAGGAAUUUCCAUGGUAUUGUUUGUUCUUGCUUCCAUUUUUUUUUCUUUUUUGGCCUCCCCCUGACAUAUGGGGUUCUAGGUCAGGGAUCAGACCUGAGUCACAGUUGCAGCAGCACCGCCAGAUCCUUUAACCCACUGUGCCGGGCCAGUGAUGGUGUAGCAGGGACACUGCUGAUCCCAUUGCACCACAGCAGGAACUCCUCCAUGGUAUUAUUUGGUGUAUAGUCCUCAAAGUAAGGACUAUACAUUCAGGGAUGAUAAUAGCAUUAUUUUAAUUAAAUCUUUCCUAGGGUUACACAGGAAUAAGGCAUUAUUGCAAACCUUUUAAGAAAAGUAUUUAUUUGCAUUUCACACAUCUCUGGUGGUGGCUGACCCUAACACUUGGUUUUGUUAGGACCUGCCCACACCUCCAAGGAAGGCUUGUCUUGCAAAUGAGCAUCAUUCAGUCUGUUAUUGUUGGAGCAUCUCAAAAUGUGAAUCCCAGGUUCUCUAAAUGAGUUAAAUAUGGACAUAGCUCACAUUACUGCAUAUCAUUAUUUCCUAUUCAGAUGGAGAAUUAAUUCAUAAUAAAUGCUAUAUUCAGACAGACUUCAAAGAGUGAUUCAACAGGCCAUUAUUUGGCAAAUGCACAGUAACUAUAAAAAUGCAGUUACCUCAUUCAUCCUGUUUUCAGUCAUGUUAGCAUGAGAAUUGAGCUUCUUUCAACCCUUGAUGGUUUUAUUCUCAUAGCACUUAUUUAUAAUCUGCCCAGUGUCUAUCUGACACUGACAGAAGAGACAGCUCUGAUCAGGGGAAAAACUGGCUGUGAAACUGACUGCUCAAAGGUAUGUGGGAAUACACAUGCAGGACUGUGAAGCCCAAACUGUGGUUGCUGGUUAGAGUGGGUUCUUCAUAAAUCAUGUGAAGAGGCUGUAUUGGGGCAAAGUGUGGGGGCGGUUUGGAGACUCAGAAGGGAAGAGGCGAGAAGGCUGAAUAACCUAGCCCAAGCUGUGAAGUCAGGAAUGAAAGGUGAAGUGGAUGCAGAGGAGAAGAGGAUGAAGAAAGCCUGAGAAGGGCAUGCCUGAAGAGGAGUGGAGGCAUAGCAUAGGAGAUUAGGGUGGCCAGGCUUGGCCUCCAACUGUGAGACUUAGUAGGGCACGGCUGAAACUGGGUCUCCUACUGACUCUAGGUCUGAGAGCCUGAGCUCAUAGUCUUCUGGGAGAGGCUUCUUGAAUGUGUGCUCUCAGCUCUCUUUAAUCUCUUAGAGGCAGAAAGGGGUCCCCUGGGCAGCAAAGCAAUUGUCUGUGGCAGCAGCUGUCAGGAUGCUCAGAUACUGGCAGUGCAUGGAAAGAUACCUCAAAUGCACAGAGCACUCUUCUCCCUGAGCCUUGUCACAAACUGUUCCUGUCACCUGGAUAAUCCUCCAGUUCCUCUUCAGCUCCCCAGACCUGCACUGUCCAAAAUGCUGGCUGCUAGCCACAUGUGCCCUUAAAACAGAGAGGUACUCUAAGUAUGAAACACACACAGCCUUUCAAAACCAAGUAUUUAAAAAAGUGAACCCUCGUUAAUAAUUAUUUGUAUAUUUAGUACAUGUGGAAAUAAUAUUUGGAGUAUAUCAGUUUAAAGAAAAUAUAACAUUAAAAUGAAUUUACCUCUUCUUACUUUUUCGUAUGUGGCUACCAGAAAAUUCUACUCACCUAUGUGACCCCCUACUCUGUCUACUGGACAGCCCUGUCCUAUUUCAUGUAUACUUUGGCUACACAGCAUAAUGGCCAAGUUUCCAAGCUUUGGAGCCAGACUGCUGUUCAAGUCCUGAUUCAGAUCUUGACACUUCAUAGCAAGUGACUGGAGUGAGCUAACACGCCUCGUUUUUCUCCUAACAGUGCCUGUCUCACCAGGAACUGCAAGGCCCAGAUGUAGUCUGCUGCUGCCUUUAGGCUUUCUCCUAUGCUCUGCCACCCAAGUCCUCCUCUAGCAGGCCCUGACUCUCUUUCAAGAUGGACAGUGAGACAUCAUUGACACAGCUGAGACUGUCUUUCAGAAGUUGUUACAUUAAGAAAACAUUGAAGAUGAAUAUUUUCUCAGGAUUUCUCUCGCUGCCUUUAGGAUCCUCC